rnacentral:rRNA from 1 species
UACGAAGGGGGCUAGCGUUGCUCGGAAUCACUGGGCGUAAAGGGUGUGUAGGCGGUUCUUUAAGUUUGGUGUGAAAUCUCCCGGCUCAACUGGGAGGGUGCGCCGAAUACUGAGGGACUAGAGUACGGGAGAGGAAAGUGGAAUUCCUGGUGUAGCGGUGAAAUGCGUAGAUAUCAGGAGGAACACCGGUGGUGUAGACGGCUUUCUGGACCGUAACUGACGCUGAGACACGAAAGCGUGGGUAGCAAACAGG